rnacentral:rRNA from 1 species
UUGAAAGGGAAACGAUUGAAGUCAGUCGUACCGACGAGAAAUCAGCUUAUCGUGUGCUAACUUGUGGNCGUGCGUGAGUUUCGGCCUCNCUGUUUGCAUGUUUGUNCGCUUUGGGUGUACUUUUUCGUAUGGUUGGCCAACAUCAGUUUCGAUCACUAUAAAAUGACUGGCGGAAUGUAGCUUCGAUUUCGGUUGAAGUGUUAUAGCCUCUGGUAGAUGUGGUAAUUGGGACUGAGGAUUGCAACGAAUAUCCUUUGGGCUAUCCGUCUGGCCUCUGAAAGUUGCUUGGGUGCUGAAAGCUUGCUUAUGGUUAUCUAAGUUAACGGUCAAUAGGUUAGAACGUGAUUACAUUCGUUAAGGAUGUUGACGUA